CACACGCACAGGAAAGCCUCAUCGUGGGUCAUCUAAAAAGUUACAGACGCUACAAUCAGGCACCCCCGCUGCCGUCCUUUGGAGCGGCUCGCCCCCCGGCGGUCCUCCACUCGGCCACCACCUCGGCCACCGCCUAACGCACACCAGCUUCUCUUUAAGCGCGGAGUCCGCGACUGCUGGCCGUGCGGGAGAGUGCGGGUCCCGUGGCUCGAGGCGGUCGGGGAUGCGGGGAUCCAGGUGUCGGCGGAGGAUCUCGCCGGAUCCGUUCAAGGCGACGGCGGCGACGGCUUGUGGCGAAGCGAGGAGACACGGAGGAGCCCGGGAAGGACGCAGCGCUUCUGUCAGUGCUGGGAAGAUGCGGAGGCGACCGGAUCCGGGGCGGCGGCGGCGGUCGCAGUUGCAGUCGACUUCGGUGGUAGAUCGUCUCCAGCAUUUCCGACACAAACAAGGCCGUCGGGAGGUCCUGGCUCGCCAACCAGCAACUGGACGGUAAAGCCUGGUGACACGUGGGCGGAACCUCAUCCCACUGCCCCCGCAGGCAUUCAAGGGCAUCAAGCAGAUGGAGUUCAUCAAGACCUGUAUUCUUUUGACCCCUUUUGUGAAAGGUAAAGAAUGUUGCUGGAGACUAUACAACAUAUAUGCUAUACAACCAACCUCCCCAGCGACGUGUACCAAGACUUCAUCAAGACCACGACCGAGAUUCGAAAAAACAGGUAUGUAUGUUCUGAAUAAGUUCUCUCUACCAGUUGGUAUGGUUGCCUUGUUGAUCACAUUAAUACAAUUCCCGAAUGCAGUGCUGACCUUGAUGUUGAAAAAAGGAACAUCUGCCCUGAAAACUGCAUAGAGGCGGCACUGAAACUAUCCCAGGGCUGGGCUACAGUUAAACAGGGCUACUUGAACUUUACUGAAGGUCGUAGCCCCGUCGAAGGCAAUGGCAAUGUAGAUGCUGAUGUCAAAGCCCUUGUUGUCAACCCCUUGAUACAAAAACUAAUGGAUAUUCUUUCCAGACCUGUAGGUGCUGAAAAGGUUCUCAUGGUUGCUCCUUGUGUUUGCCUGUGGUUGCUAACUUGGUAUUCGAUUACCUCAUGACUGCAGUCAUACCCUUACAUGAGCGACAAUGAUUAUUCUGCUUUUUUGCAAACCACGCAAGAUUUUUGUAGCGACAGGACCAUCACCCCUCGAGAAAUUUACAAAAACGUGCCUAUUAGUUCUUCUGAAACUUUGUGCUAUGUAAUUCUGCAGUGAUUUCUCUGAGGAAGAUUUGAAAUAAUGGGGCGUCUGAUUUAUAAUUCCUUCUUCGUAGGUGAACAGAUGUAUGAGUAACUGUCAAGUUGUUGGAAUAGUUUGUGCAUAAUUAUCUCCCUACAGACCUAAAGGCCUCUUUCUAAGGGUUAAAGCAUAUGAUAAUCACAACUUGGAUAGUAUCCAUAUGAAAGAAGGUAACAUCAUUAUGCCGCCGCUUGAAGAUAAACAAGCAUUUACUCUUUAUUGAUGAUGAUCCUGAGCGUGAUGAUCUGUUGGUGAGUCAGAAUAAUUCUUACAGAUCGAAGUUGGCACCAAUCGUAUGUGGGUUUAAAAAAUAUGAAAUUAUGAGAAUAGACAAAAACGCUCAUUGUUAAAAUUAUUUGUGUGUUUCUAAGUAGAGUUGUCGAAUGUGGUGGUAUCCAUAUGAUUGGUGUCUCGGAUAUAAAUUGUCUUCUUAGGAUGAGUUGAAUUGUCGAAUUUCAUUCCAGGCUUGAGCUUGAUAAUGAUAUUACUUCUAAUGGGCUUUGUAAUGUGCUUUCAUUGAAUUAUGUCAGUAGAGAUGCACAAUGUGCGUACCUGUCAGGUUUAGCUUAACUCGCUGUUAUUGGGGUAGUAGAAUGAGCCCUCCAAGCUUGCUAAAUAUUUUUUUAUAUAAGUACUGCAUGCCUGAUUAUUCUUAUUGCUUAUUAUUUCAGAUUUUAUCAGCUAAUUGUCUCAGCAAAAAAUAUAUUAAGUGUUCCCUUUAUAUUUCAUUUUUUAGCCUCUAUUGUACUCUGCACCCCUAGAAGAAUGAAAUUAGUUUAUGUUCUUACAUACUUAUUUAAAGCAUUUAUAUAAAAGGAAUGCGGUAAUCCAUUUAAAUGAGGGGAUUAUUAUGCCUCCAACUUGUGCUUACCAUGGGUGAGUCAGGAUUCAGGAGGCCUAAUCUACUUAUCCUGCGAAGUCAAGUGAAUGAAUCGCGGGAGAUGCUACUGCUGCUGGUUGGAACGCUGAUGAUCGUGUGUGUGCUUGUUGCCGCUGCUUGCAUGUGGAUGAGUAGUAUAGUGCACAGCUGCAUGAGCUUGGGACAUAUGUGCUUUGAUACAUUGCUUUUUUUCGCUAUGGGCUUUAAUAUUCUACUCCAUUUCCGAGGGAUAAAAAUGUUUGAGGCUACUAUAGUAUAUGUGAAAUAUACAAUUAUUCAUUACUUGUUUUCUUACCAUCUAAUGUGUUUGGCAUUUCUUCUUUCGGAUUUACAUCUCCUCUUUGUGCAGGAGGUACAAGGUCUCACCACAUGUUGAAGUCUACUUUCAGUUAUUCUAUUUUCAUUUUCAUUUUUGUUUCUGUAUUUUUCUGCGUUACAAGGACUUGAGGUGAUUGAUGGGUUGUAGGGCAUGGGGAGCUUCACGAUUAUGCAUUUUUUUUCUAUAUUUAAUAUAUCAUUGUUGUUGUUAAUUUUAUUGUUUGAUUACACAAAGUCAUGGUAACACUGUAUCUAUAGAUUGUGAUACA